GAUGAAGAACGUAGCAAAAUGCGAUAAGUAAUGUGAAUUGCAGAAUUCAGUGAAUCAUCGAAUCUUUGAACGCACAUUGCGCCCGCCAGUAUUCUGGCGGGCAUGCCUGUUCGAGCGUCAUUUCAACCCUCAAGCACAGCUUGGUGUUGGGACUCGCGUUAAUUCGCGUUCCUCAAAUUGAUUGGCGGUCACGUCGAGCUUCCAUAGCGUAGUAGUAAAACCCUCGUUACUGGUAAUCGUCGCGGCCACGCCGUUAAACCCCAACUUCUGAAUGUUGACCUCGGAUCAGGUAGGAAUACCCGCUGAACUUAAGCAUAUCAAGAAGCGGAGGA
rnacentral:misc_RNA from 1 species